rnacentral:rRNA from 1 species
UGCGGAAGAGUGGCGAACGGGUGAGGAACACGUAAGAAUCUGCCCCUCGGUCGGGGACAACUCUUGGAAACGAGAGCUAAUACCCGAUACGCUGUGGAGUGAAAGAAUUUCGCCGAGGGAUGAUCUUGCGUCUGAUUAGCUAGUUGGUGCGGUAAUGGCGCACCAAGGCGACGAUCAGUAGCUGGUCUGAGAGGAUGAACAGCCACAUUGGAACUGAGACACGGUCCAAACUCC